UACAGCGAAAGUGCUACCGAGUCUGCGCAAGAGCGUGGGUACGGCAACGAGUGAAGAGGCUACGGAAGCCUGCUAGUCCUCAAGUGAAUAUUCGUGCGACUCCAGCUGUAGGGUUUGGCUUUUAUGAAUAAAACCUCAAUGAAUGUUCAUCUGAAAAUGCUCAUGUGAAAACAACAACCAAACCAAUAAUUCCAUUAAAACGUGAGCAAAGGACGUGAAUAGACGUUUUUCAGAAGAAGACAUAGAAAUGGCCAACAGUCCACCAGGGAUUGUGGCACAUUACAUGGUGGUGUCCCGAACAGCCCCAGAAUUGGGUGCUCUACAGGUGGCACUCAAACAGGCGACAGUCUGAACACGGGACUAUGAGGACAUGAAUGAAGAAGAUCUCCUGGAACAGGGGAAACGGAGACCCCAGGACGAGUCGGCCGGCAGUGGAUAUAAGGUCAGUGCCCUAAAGAGGUACUGGGAGCAGUGCCUUAAAGAAGUACUGGGAAUGGGAAGUUUUCUGAAUCAGGGUAACAUGGGGCAGAUUUUGUCUACUGAAAAAAAACAUUCUGUGCAGUUGCUUAAAGUUUUGUUGAAACAAACUGGUGCUCAGGUUAGUUCUCAGACAUUAACUAAGCUGCUGCAGGAGAUUAUUACACAUAACCGAUGGUUUCCACAGGCAGGCACUCUUGAUGUGGAAAAUUGGGACAGAGCAGGAGAAGGAUUAAAACAAGCUCAUCAAAAAGGUCUUAAAAUUCAUUAUUCUGUUUUAUCCACUUGGAGUUUAGUUCAUACUGUACUUGUGCCAUUAUCUCUUUAUUAUUCUGCGGGACAGCAGGCUGAAUCUAAAAAUCUGAAUCUGUUGUCCCACUCACAGCUCCAAUUGAAAAUAAAAAACAGGAGAGGGAGGAUAAAAACUGGCCUAUACCGCCUCCUCCAGUUGCAGAAACAUGUGUACCGCCUCCUUUGGUAGCAGAAAUAGAGACCCCAAUACAAAGAAUUUUAUGCUCUGCUGUCAUAGCUGGAGAGCCCUUAGGAUCUUGUGUUUUUCCUAUUUCCAUAAGGGCUGAUCCAAACAAUCCACAGCAGGUUGUUCAUGAACACACCCCACUGGAGUUUAAAUUGUUGAAGGAAUUAAAAGCAAGAGUGGUAAAUAAUGGCAUACAGAGCCCAUUCACCUUAGGAUUGCUAGAAUCUGUGUUUGGUGCUAUGCGUCUUUCACCCUUUGAUGUGAGACACUUGGUGCACACUUGAUUGUCCGCUAAUGCAUAUCUGACAUGGAAUUUAAAUUGGCAAGAAAUGUGUGCAGACCAGGCUAAACAGAACCGUGUUGCUGAACAGAGACGUUACAGAGGAUAUGCUAUUAGGUAAUGGCCCUUAUUCAGACCUGGGAAGUCAAAUGGCACUCCCAGAUGCUGCUUAUCAGCAGUGUGCACAGGCUGUUGAAUGCGCCUGGGCCACAGUUCCUGAAGAGGGAGUCCCAGUACAAUCCUUUUUACAAAUCAUGCAAGGGUCACAGGAACCCUAUGUGCAAUUUCUUGCAAGAUCACAAGAGGCAGUGAAGCAUCAGAUUCCUCAUACCACGGCUGCAGAAAUGCUAACCUUAACUCUAGCUUUUGAGAAUGCAGACACGGAUUGUAAACAUGCACUGGCACUGGUGAGGUGUAUAAAAAACUUGGGAAAUUUUCUCAGAGCUUGUCAAGAUGUAGGAACUGAGCUUCAUCACUUUGCAAUAUUAAUGCAAGCAGUGGCUAAUUUAGCAAUUGACAAAUCUAAAAGGAGCCAAAGGUCAAACCCUAAAAUGGGAAAAUGUUAUAAUUGUGGAAAACCUGGGCAUCUUAUAAAGGAAUGCCGCCAGAUCUCAGGAAAGAAAGGACCUUACAAUGCAGUGCCCCACCCAGCGGAAGAAACGCCAGGGCUUUGUCCUUGCUGUAACAGAGGAAAUAACUGGGCUAAUCAGUGCCACCCAAAAUUUCAUCAGAAUGGCACCCCCCUGCUGGGAAAUGAGACAGGGGCCUGGACCCAGGCCCCACAAACAAUGAGGGCAUUCCCAGUCCAGACCUCAACCCCGUUUCAGGCAUGGGUUCCCAGAGGCACAUUGAUUCCCUCACCCCAGGAACACCAGGAGUGAAGGAUUAGAUCUCCCAGUCAGAGAGUGGGUAAUGUUAGUUGGGGCAGACAAACCCAUCUAAGUUCCCACUGGUAUUUGGGGACCUGUACCAGCAGGAUAUGUGGAACUAAUUUUAGGCAAAAGCUGCCUUAACUUACAGGGCAUUACUGUAGUCCCAGAAGUUGUUGACUCUGAUUAUGGAGAAAUUCAAGUAGUUUUAAUGUCACAAAAUCUUUGGGGUUUUGAGCUGGGAGAAUAUAUUGCUCAAUUAUUGCUUAUUCUCUGCAAAUCACACCCUUCUCCAUGAAAGGAGAAAUGAGGAAAUAAAGGGUUUGGGAGCACAACUACAUGGGAAAUCUAUCUAUCCCAACCCAUAGCCUCUAAUAGACCCACCUGUGUAGUACAAAUUAAAGGAAAGAAAUUUUAUGGUCUUAUGGAUAAGGAAGCUGAUGUGUCAGUAAUAUCUAAAGACAGUUGACCCCCAUCCUGGCCUUUGCAAUUAACUUCUACAUCCUUAGUGGGAGUAGGAACAGCUGAAAGUGUUCAACAGAGCGCUGAGAUUUUACCUUGUCUUGGUCCGGAUGGACAGUCAUGUACUUUUCAGUCUUAUGUUGCAAAUAUAGCUAUCGAUUUAUGUGCAGAAAUGCUAACCUUAACUCUAGCUUUUGAGAAUGCAGACACGGAUUGUAAACAUGCACUGGCACUGGUGAGGUGUAUAAAAAAGCUAUCGAUUUAUGGGGUUGAGACUGACUGACAGCAUGGGAUAGGAGACUUACAAAUGAAAACUUGCAUAACCCAGGAUUUAAAAUGUUGAAGAACAUGGGCUAUCAGAGGGGAAAAGGUUUAGGAAAAUUUCUUCAAGGAAAUCCUAACCCAGUAUCAGUAAUGGAAAAACAGAGAGAAAAGGGAUAGGAUGUCAGGAUUUCUGAUGAGGGUCAUUGAUACUUCUCCUCCGCCCACUGCCUUUACCAUUAGAAUGGCUCAGUGAAAAACCUGUAUGGGUGAAUCAAUGGCCCCUAUCUCAGGAGAACCUGAUGCAACUUCAGCAGCUAGUAAAAGAACAAUGGGAUGCCAGACACAUAAGCCUGGAAUUCUCCAGUGUUUGUUAUUCCAAAAAAGUCCGGAAGAUGGCGACUACUACAUGAUUUAAGAGCUAUUCAUGUACACGUAAAACUGAUGGGUGCCUUACAAAAAGUUUUACCAUCUCCAGCGGCUAUUCCAAGAGACUGGCCUCUUGUAUAAUAGAUCUUAAGCACUGUUUCUUUACUACACCCUUACACGAGAAGAAUAAGCCUGUUUUGCCUUCUCUGUGCCUUCUAUUAACCAAAGAGAACCUGUUUCCCAUUAUCAAUGGAGAGUUUUACCCCAAGGCAUGCUUAACAGGCCUACACUGUGUCAGCAUUUUGUAGGACAGGCAUUCAAGGAGCCUCGGAAUAUGUUUCCUACCGCUUAUGUCAUUCAUUUUAUGGAUGAUAUUCUUUUGGCCGCUCCUACAGAUCAAAACCUACAUCAGUUAUUCAGAGAAACGAAGCAGGCUCUGACUAAAUGGAAUCUCAAAAUAGCUCCAGAAAAGGUACAAACAACUUCCCCAGACCAAUAUUUAGGAACGAUUGUUACAGAGAGAAGUGUACUGACUCAGAAAGUAGUUCUCCGUAAAGACAGGUUACAGACUUUAAAUGAUUUUCAGCAAUUAUUAGGAGAUAUUAAUUGGCUACGCCCGAUGUUAGGUAUUGCUACCUAUCAACUUACACAUCUUUACCAAACCCUGCAAGGAGAUUCUUCCUUCAAUUCCCGGCAGCAACUAACUAAAGAGGCAGAAGCCGAAUUACAGCUUGUAGAGCAAAUGUUACAACAGAGAUAUGCCUCAUGGCUACAACCACAAAAACCUUUGCUUUUGUUUAUUCUUCCUACCCCCUACUCUCCAACAGGACUUUUGGGCCAGUUCAUAGACAAGUCUGUAACAGUAGUAGAAUGGUUCCUUCUAUCUAAUCAAACAGUCAAAACCUUGCAAGUUUAUCUUUCUUUAAUUACACAAAUUGUAACUAUGGGCAGGCAUAGGUCAAAAAUGCUUACGGGAUAUGAUCCUGACAAAAUUAUUGUUCCUUUAGACUCCCAGCAACAAGCUGCAGCUUGGGAAAUGAAGACUGCCUGGCAAACUGCGUUCGCAGACUUCAUGGGUGCUAUAGAUAACCAUUACCCUCAGACAAAAUUUUACGUUUAAUAAAAUCCAUUCUUUCAUUCUUCCUGUUAUUACUCAUCACAAACCUAUUCCAGGUGGGCACACUUGUUGUACUGAUGGCUCUUCCAAAGGUCAUGCCGCUAUCUAUGGACCAAAACAUACUCAAACAAUAACGAUCUCGGGUUUCAGCUCAACGCUCAGAGCUAAUUGCAGUCAGCUGCGAGGUUUUACAGCUCACAGCUUCAGAUCCUAUCAACUGCAGGGAGACGAAGGCCCGUGGGAUGUGAGCAACUCAGCAUUCCGCUGGAGGCUAUGUGAUCAAACAGCAAACUGUUUAUGUGGGCAAACUCACACUGCCCUGCCACCAAAAGGUCUGCGGAGGGCCAUCACUCCCUGGCUCCUUGAAGUUAUCUAUUGAGAGUUAUCUAUUGAGAAAUCUAGCGCCUAUUGUUUUAAGAAUGCAGUCUUGCAAGCCUGCUGUGAAUCAAACUGCUGGCCAACACCCCCCCCCCCACUUCUCGCUAUCUCUUUUGCCUAAUAAAUAUGGAGGGCUGUGUAAAGCUCAGGGCCCUUGUCCACUAGAGGCAAGGUGCCCCUUGACCCCUUCUUCCAAAUAUACUCUUUUAUCUCUUGCCUUUAUUCCCACGCUCGCCCCCUUCGUUCACUCCACCAGGGACCAUGGCAGGCUACAAUCAAUUGUCAACCAUAAAGACAGGUUGCAGACUUUACAUGAUUUUCAACAAUUAUUAGGAGAUAUUAAUUGGCUACGCCCGAUGUUAGGUAUUGCUACCUAUCAACUUAAACAUCUUUACCAAACCCUGCAAGGAGAUUCUUCUUAUUCAGCUUAUGUUGUAAAUGUAGCCAGUCGCAUAGAAACUGCUACAGUUGAAAGUACACUAGGCCCACAACUGCUUAAUUUGUCUCGCUUAUUCUCAUAUGCUGCAUGCUACAUGCCAAACAGGUGAGACAGCUGGUCAUGCACAGUGACAUUGUCUGUCAUCAUUUGCUCAUGUGGGGAUACCUAAACAAUUAAAAACUGACAAUGGACCCACUUAUACUAGUCAUGCUUUUCAAAAUUUCCUACAGCUUUGGGCUCUAACCAAUAAAACUGGAAUUCCUUAUAAUCCUAGAGGACAAGGCAUUAUAGAGCAGGCACAUCAAACAUUACACUGCAUGUUGAAAAGACAAAAAUGGGGUAUAGGAGGCCAACUACCACCUCAAUCAAAACUACAUUUAGCCUUACUUACUUUAAAAUUUUUGACUCCCGGUACAGAUGGUAAGACUCCAGCAGAAAGACAUUGGCAAGUGUUAGAGGAAAAGAGGAAAGUUUAUCCAAAAAUGUUAUGGAAAUCCCCAGAAGAAGAACAAUGGAAAGGCCCGGUGGAUUUACUGACAGGGGGAAGAGGAUAUGCUUGUGUUUUACAGGAGAUGGACAAGCUGUGUGGGUGCCCUCAAGGUGCAUGUGACCAUGGAAUGGGAGACUGGAGGGACCCAGGGUGGCCAACCAUGGGCCCAGUCCCUCCGGUACGAGCCAUGAGUCAGCUGAGCCUGAGUGCAGAGAUGGAGAGAAGGCCGACUGGAGUCGCGACACAGUCUUAAUGUUACAUUUGUAAAGAAUAUCACCAGUUUGCAGUUUGUGUUUUUAAUACUUAUGUCUUUUUGGCAGCUAAGAACGACCAGUUCCAGGUAAACAAUAACCAGUUGACCUGUAAAGCUUGCCAGUUGUAUCAUUGCAUUAAUCAUAGCACAUUGCAAACACAUAGUAUCUCUACAUUGAUCAUUUUAGGUCGCAUCCCUGGGCUAUGGGUUCCUGUUCAUCUGUCCGAGGCUUGGGCUGCCACACCUGCUUUGCAUUUUGUGAAACUUCUUCUAACUCAGCUUACUCAUUGUGCCCAUAGAGCCUUAAGCAUAAUAAUUUUUGUUAUCGUUUCCUUGGUCACACUAAUAACUUCUGUUGUGAUGUCCUCUGUAGCUUUGCAUAAUUCUGUUCAAAUGGCUCAGCACGUAGAGAACUGGACACGUACAGACAAGCGUGGCUACUUCAGAAUAAAGUUAACACUGAGUUACAAGCUGAAGUGGCAGUGUUGAAAUCCACGGUUCUGUGGUUAGGGGAACAAGUACAAAGCUUGCAGUUGCAGCAGCAAUUGCGUCAUCAUUUUAAUCACGCUCGUAUUUGUGUAACCAACUUAGAAUACAACCAAAGUGAGUAUCCAUGGGACCUCGUGAGAGCCCAUUUGCAGGGAGCUUUCACACCCAACCUCACCUUUGAUACUGGUGAAUUACAAAACAAAAUUCUUCAUUUAAAUAGGCAAACUCAAGAAUUUCAGCCUUCUUUAGAAGACUGGACUGAAUUCCAGGAAGGCCUGGAGAGCCUCAACCCUUGGACCUAUCUAAAGUACCACAGUAACAUCUUAUAUGUAGUUCUUGGAAUUAUGUUGUUUUAUCUCUAUCUUCUGUUUAUAGUCUGUAAAAUUGGAUGGACCGCCAAUUGGAGUAUGAGAACCGCCCAGAAAGGGAGAUAUGCAGGGAGCUGAAGGCCCAUGGGACGUGACCAACUCAGCAUUCCACUGGAGGCUAUAUGAUGAAAGAGCAAACUGUUUAUCGUGAAUACAGGAUGUGAGCAGACUCACAACUGCUCCUGCCGCCAGAAGGUUUGCAGAGGGCAGUUGCUUCCUGGCGCCAAGCUCUUUGAAGUUAUGUACUGGGACAUCUAGAGAAUGUAGUCUUGUAAGCCUACUCUGGACCAACCAGCUGACCUCUUCUUCCACCCCACUUCUCACUAUCUCUUUUGACUAAUAAAUAUGGAGGGCUGUGUAAAGCUCAGGGCCCUUGUCCACUAGAGGCAAGGUGCCCCCCGACCCCUUCUUCCAAAUAUAC